rnacentral:lncRNA from 1 species
CUGGGCAUCUUCUUCAGUAAAGGUUAUAGACUCUUCAGUCCUCUGCCGCUUGGGUGGUACGGUCGAUCCACUGGCUGCUCCCCAUCGGGGUCCUCCAGAGAUGGUGUGGACGAUCCCGAUUGGAGGUCGAUCCUCAGGCCAUUCCUUCCUUCCUUCAGGUCGGCAUCGGAUGAAUCUGUCGAGCCGACCUCAUCCGAUGAGCUUCUCGACCUGUCAGUUCAUCUCUUGAAAUCUUUGAUCCAGGAAGUACUCUCGACUGCGAGCCUCGAGGG